UCUGAAAUGUAUAACUAAUCAUUUAUCACCUUUUAUGUGUAUUGCCGUUCCAGAGCCCUCUGUUAGUCGCACACCGAGGACGUAAACAGUGCGUUCUGCGAUUGAUUUCACGGAAACCACCGAGGGACAAACUGUGCGAAAACAAUCCUGUUCGGAACUCAAGCAAUGGAGAGGUGGAAGAGUCAUGUUCGUGCGGAGCUUUUCCAGAGAGACUGUCAGCAAAAAGAACCCUUCAGUGGCCUCAUUAAGUCAUAUUCCCGGUUGUUGGAGAAAUGCGAAUUACACGAGUGCUUUUGGGACGAAAAGCAGGGAUCCAGGUUUGUGGAAUCUCCAGAAACGCUGCAGCUGCAGCUUCUGUUAAAGGAGGGAGAACAGGUUAGAGAGAAGCUCGCCCAGAGGGUCACGGACCUGAUGAGCUCCCUGUAUCUGAAAGAGGCGGAGCUGCAGUACUGUCACUCACAGUGAGUAAAUAGCCAAUCACGGCUGGGGAGCGAUUGAUUGACUGAUGAACCUCGCUCCCUGCAGGAGCACUGA